rnacentral:rRNA from 1 species
UACAGAGGGGGCAAGCGUUAUUCGGAAUUAUUGGGCGUAAAGGGCGCGUAGGCGGCUUGGUCAGUCCCGUGUGAAAUCCCUCGGCUCAACUGAGGAACUGCACGGGAAACUGCCUGGCUUGAGUUCGGGAGAGGGAAGCGGAAUUCCGGGUGUAGCGGUGAAAUGCGUAGAUAUCCGGAGGAACACCGGUGGCGAAGGCGGCUUCCUGGACCGACACUGACGCUGAGGCGCGAAAGCUAGGGGAGCAAACAGG